AAAUCUCGGAGUUUCUCUCCGCCUUAGAGAUUGGACUCCUGUACUCUAGCUUCACGGUUCGAGACAAACAUCGAAGUGUCAGCUGGGACGAAGAUGCGUUUUUUAUGUGUUUAAUUAUUGAUGGAUUUAGAUUAAGAAUAUGUUAGUGAGAUCUGGAAGGUCGAGUAACCUAUUCGAGUUAUGCUCUUUUCCAACAGUUUCGAAUUCCGUUUCGACAGUUUGUUCGACUGGAAUCAUGAAAAAAAUAAUUUUAAAAAUACGAAUUUCCUUGUCCACAAGCCGAUAUGCCAAUAGAUAUCUUAAUUUUACAAUUAAUUUGGAAUGAAUGGAUUUUUAUUCAAUCCUCUUAUAAAAUUCAUUUCUUCCACAUUGAUGCGAGCAGUCAUACGCACAUUUUGUAACGAAGGUACCUUUUCACCCUGCGGUAUAUUUAAAGAAGAGAAUCUUAACCCUUCAAGAUAAAAGCAUUAUCAGAGAAGCCAUUUAUUCUCUCGCAACCCAAUGUUACAAUAUUAAUAACAACAUUUAAGUUCUUAUCAGCGCAGGAACCAUGACGAACCGCUGGCUUCGUACCAUCAAUGUUCACUUCGCAAAGCCAUGAUGAUUAUCGUCUUCGCGACACUAAUUUGGACAAGCAAUUUAUGACGUUUAUAAUCCGGAGAAAAGUCGGUGAUUGACGAAAAAUGCAAAUAUUCUAAAAAAGUCUUCUUUACUUAAAUACAACCUGAUUGAUGCACUGACUUGCCAUAAGUCAGAUCGGGACAUACGAGAAAAAUGAAAGAAAAAAAAUAAUAAUUAGAAAGAAUUUUGUUAUAAUUUUCAUGUAUAAUAAACAUAAAUGGAUCAAAUAACAUAGCGUGUAUUGCCUGCUAUUUCGACAUCAUACUUUUUCCCACACGCGCGCUGCAUGUGAUAUUUGAUAGCUAUGGAGGCGAAUAACGAAGCUUACUGAAUUUUCAUCAAUUUCAAUAUCGCGAAAUAACCUUUUUUCCUAAGCAUGAACCGUUACGAUAAUGUUAUUUAUAACUUCAAUGUGGUAACAGAUUCUAGUUCUUAAAUGAUUGAAAACAGUCAGAGGAAUAACGAAUUACAGAAGUUUUAUUUCCUUAAUUCUAUACAGAUUUUCAUGGAUAAAAAUUUACAAAACUUUAUAUUCACGCGCAAAACAAAAAUCAUUCUAGAGAUCAAGACAUUCUGUCCCCUCUUUUUCAGUUCAUGUGGUAUUUUGAAAUGGUGUAAGUAACAAUUGCAAAUUUACAGUAUUUUUAACCGUUAGAUCUUUGUUGAUUAAAAUGUUGUAUACAGCAAACAACUGUAACAACAUGUUUACGUUUCAGAGUAUCUCCAAUCCAUACAAAUGUACAACAUACGUGAAAUUUUCAGCAUUUUCAAUCACUGCUUGCUUUACAAGCAUUUUACACUUUACAACACUGUGAAAUAUGGCUCUUGCUUUUGUACAAAUCUUGAAUUCACUUGCAUGAUAUAAAGAGACUUUGGUAUUCGGCUUACGAGUACAGCCACAUUUGCAUUUAGAAAAGAACACAAGUGAGGAGGGGAUUAGAAAGUAACUGAAAACAAUUGUUUUGGCUUAUUAUAAGUGUAUUUCUUAAAAUUUCAUCAAUUGAUAGUAUAGGAUCGCAUAUCAUACUUGAUUUAUCGUUCAAAAUUAAAAGUGAAAUGAUAAAAGUAUCUAUCGAACGCAAACCACCUUGUGAAAAAUGUAAUGUGCCGUGUAGUAGUAUAAUUAAAUCAGUAAAAAAAAAAACAAUGAUGUAACUAUGUACAAACCUUCAAGUCCGACGCUGAUUUUCAUUUUAUAGUCAGUUAAAAAUGGUAAUGACAUUUAAACCUUAUCAUCUAUUUUACAGAUACAAUAUAAUUCUAAAAAUUUGUUAGUUUAUCAUUGUACAAUCGCGGAAUAACUCCUGACAUAGGAAUAUCGGUUUACUGUAGUCACUUUCUGAAAAAGGCACAAUCGAAACGUCCAAUGAAAACACAACAUUUUUACUGCUUCUAUCAUCUGCGAAGGAAAAACUCAUACCAAUGCAAAUAGCGAUGUAAUUUCGUAAUUUCUCUCUACCGUGUUUAUUGGUAAAUAAUACACGAAUCUGAAUCGAUAAAUGUUUUCUCUUCGUUACCUUUUCGUCACACCCUAUUCAGAAGCGGCUAGCAUCAAGGUUUUCAAACGAAUUCGAUUCAUUGAA